rnacentral:rRNA from 1 species
CAGUCGCCACGGUAAUACGUAGGGUGCAAGCGUUAAUCGGAAUUACUGGGCGUAAAGCGCGCGUAGGUGGUUUGUUAAGUUGGAUGUGAAAUCCCCGGGCUCAACCUGGGAACUGCAUCCAAAACUGGCAAGCUAGAGUAUGGUAGAGGGUGGUGGAAUUUCCUGUGUAGCGGUGAAAUGCGUAGAUAUAGGAAGGAACACCAGUGGCGAAGGCGACCACCUGGACUGAUACUGACACUGAGGUGCGAAAGCGUGGGGAGCAAACAGGAUUAGAUACCCCAGUAGUCCCUGUCUCUUAUAC